UUCCUCCUCCUUCAAGAGAUUAAAAUGCAUUCAGGAAAGCCUCAACUUUAUCGUAUUCGCCUACCUGAUGAGCUUCGUGAAUCCAAAAGAUUGAUUCUCGUUACAUCUGAUGUUUCAGCCGUUACAUCUGAUGUUUCAUCCCUUGGCAUGAACUAUCCUGAUGUUACUCUGGUGAUUCAAGUAGCUUAAAACAUGCAUGCUUAUUAGCUCUAUUACAUUUUGUUCUAUAAUCUGUAUACCUUGUGCGAUAGUACUUCACUAUGGACACUUGCAAGGCAUAAGUAUAUGCAUUAGCCCUAAUUCAUGUUAUCUUCCUUUUCACUCCACAUUUUUUCUGAUGAAACUGUUUGGUAGAAAAGUAGUGCAUGUCUAAGAUAUUUUAAACUAUUCUGCAUUAGUUAAGAUUAAGAUGAAUCUUUUUGUGGUUUUAUUUAUGUGGCAGAAAUUGAUACACCAGCAACUUCUAAUUGAACGUGGAUGCUUAUAGAAUCAUGUGAUUACCAUCAACCAUUUAGUGGGGGAGCUUACCUUACUCCUUAUGUGUAACACAAAAUUUUGGCAAUUUGUGGGUUGAUAUUCCAAUUGACAGUAAACAAUAAAUUCAUCUUUUGGAAGGACAGGGCAUGAAGGGAUUCUGUUGCUCGCACCAUGGGAAGAAUAUUGCUUGGUUGAAAUAAAUAUCUGCAAAUUGAGAAGUCUAAUUACCACAAGUAGAUUCAGAUAUAAGACUGAAGGAAAUUAGGAAUGUUGCCAAACCUCUAAACCAAUGAAUGAGAAAGUGGUCAACAGAUUCCCUGUUCGAAUUGCAUGUGUGAGAGAAGGCACUGAACCUUACACCCUGGUUUAUCUGACUAGUGUCCAUCGUCUUAUGCUAGGCAAAUGCAGUUAGUUUUCAAUGUUGGUGGAGCAGACAUGUUAUCUCAUCUACAAAUGGCUGAGGCUGUUCUAAAUGUCAGAGUUUACAACUACUUAUUAAGCAAACCUGUUUCUGCAUCAUCAGAACAUGUUUACAAACAAGUCCGAUGCAUAAUUUUUCCUUUUUUUUAAGAACUGAUGGAUAGUAAUAGAGGGAGAGAAUUGCAGAGAGAGAAAGAGAGGAAGCCAUCAUGUUUGAAAGUAGUUUCCAUUACAAGGGACCUGUAGACGGUGACGGUGGCAGAAUAGGGGCAAUUGAAAUCAUGACAGAGGCAGAUUCACAUGUCGGAUCGAGUCAUAUUUGUACAUGCAUUGAAGUCAAAUCAUCAGAGAGAUGAGUACUAUUAGUUCCAUUUCAGAAGUUUAAAUCUCAUCUAAUCAUCAACUUUCAACUAUGCAAUCAUUUGUCUUUUAUGUUCUUGAUUUUCCAUUUUUGCUGAAUCCAUGGUGACUCAUGUUUGUUGUGUCUGUGCAGUGCAGGUAUGCAAAAAAUUUGCUGCAGCCCAGUUUCUAUAAGCAGGGUUCUCUAAGGCCAGUUUCUCUCUCAUCACUACCCAACAAUCUCUCCUCAGCUUUGCUCUCAAUACUGAUUGGUGCGUCUUGCUGUUUGUCCAAGAACUCCAUUACUACUUUAACCAUUCAGCAACAACCACGGCGGCAUCUCUACCAAGGUCUCAACUUAACUAGAGAUGUUAUCCGAAGAAGUUAUACGGUUCUACUGGAAUCAACAAUGAACGGCAAAGGUGAUGUAGGGGGAGCGCAAAGAUCUAAGAAAGAAAAAAAGCAUAUCCGCACGCUGAGGUUGACUUGAAUCGAAACUAGGGUUUGAUAUAUUUUCUGAAGACAAAAAAAGACUUGGAUGGUUGCUCACUUUUACAUCUGUGAAUGGUUUCAUACUAUACUUGCUUCUUCAUUCUUGCCUUAUUUUCUUCCGAUUCAUUAUAUUUGGAGUUCCUUAUGUUGUAAUCCUUUGCAGUCAUCUUGGGAGGAUCAUGACAAAAUGAAGACAUAUGUUUUGUAUCAAUUUGUACUUUGUUAGGCAGGUGGAAGCUCUUAUUCAUAUUCUGUUUUCCUAGUAAUAUUGAUGGCAUGGUUCUUUCUCAUUACCCAGUUGCAUCAGGUCGCGGAUCUAUGUACAAAUUUCCCCCUUAAUUCUAUGCCGCCACGAAAAGGUACUAUUUUCCCCCUUAUUUCCCCUGCCUUUUUUUUAAUUAAAUUCAUUCUCCAAUAACCCAUGCCUACUUGUUAAUGUUACAGAAAAAGAUGGAAAUAGAUGUUGGGGCAAAUCUGAGCUAACGAUAUGAAGAAAAAAUUGCUAAUAUGGAAAUUAUGGAGAAACAUUUCUUCUUUGGAGUUCUUGUUCUCGUAUGUUGUUCCUUUCUCAAACUCAUGAGAAACAGUUCUCCUUUGGAGUUCCACUUAAUAUUUUUCCCCAUUGAAAUAUUUGGUUACUAAUGAUGUGGAGGAAUCGGGGGUCAAACCCCGUUAAUCUUUGGAAGGUGAAGAUUACCACGAUAGACUGAUACAAUCCUUACAUUAUGCAACGAUGGUGUUUGAGUUGGCUAUCAGAGAACAUAACUCAUUAUCGAAGACCUUUUGGUUUUCUAAUAAUUGGUUUGGUAUAGAUAGAAAUUCUUGGGCGAAGGCACUAUCUUAUCAGGUUUUGCCUUACUAUACCCUUUGGAAGUUUUUUUAUUGCAUGGAUGCUACUAAUAUGUUCAUUACUUUUUUUUUCUUUUUUCUUUUUUUUUUUUUUUUUUUUUUUUUUUGUUUUUUUCUCUGUGUGGAUGUAUCCUACAUAUAAAACAGCAUAGUGUUGCUAUAUAUUAGAUUUCCAAUCCACAAAGUGAUCAUGUGCCUACAACAAUUUUGUCUGAAGAAAUUUAAGUUUUCUUGCUUUUAUCUUUUAUGGCAUAUCUGAAUUUAUUUUCUCAGGCUGCUGUAUUUUCCUUAUCUACCAGAGGAGAACUAAGAGACAGGGAUAUUAACAUUUUUUUUCAAUGGAGGUCAGUUAUCUUUCUAAUUUUGUUGUUAUUUGGACUAAGUUUCUAAACAAAUAAUUUCAGCCUAUUUUCUCAAUUGUUAGAGCCUGAUAUGAAUUUAUACUUAUGCAAUUAUUCAUAACCUUGUCAAUUAGUGCUUUAAGUUUUUGUGUUUGCUUGUCGAUUGCCUUUGCAUCCUUUGCCUGAAUUUGUUCACUUAACUUCUAGAUAAAGUUCUCUUCUCAAUACAAUUAUUCAUAAUCUUGUCAAUUAUUGCUUUAUGUUUUUGUCUUUGCUUGUCAAUUUCCUUUGCAUCCUUUGUCUGAAUUUGUUCGCUUAACUUCUAGGUAAAGUUCUCUUCUCAAUAUUUGAAAUUAAAUGCCUUAUUGAUACUUUCAAACCAGGUUGUUUACUUCAAAUACAUCUCUAAUUUGCUGAUAAAAAUAUGAGAUUACCAUAUUCUAACUAUCUAUUUUUUAAAAUCUUUGUGAUAAAUGAUAAUGUAUUUUGAUGUAUGAUAAUAUAUACCUACACACUGCUAUAAAACAACUACAAAAGCCAAUGCAGUUAAUCAAUGUUUUAGACUUUUAAUUUGAUCUUAGGACACAUUCCUGAUUCUCGCUUCUGGUGAAAGUGGGCGUGGACUGUUCAAGUGGCAUGUUUGUGUGGCUUCUCAUGCACAAAUUCUGGAAACUGAGUGACAAGCGAGAAUCGAGGCACUGAAGGGAGCUUCUGAGGCUUCUAGUGCCCAUCAAAGGCUCAGUGGAAUGCUUCAUGUGCCUUGGAGCAGGAUUCUGAAAUUAUUCUUCUCCAACCUCAGAAACAGGAUUCUAGAAUCCCAUCAGAACCUGAGGAUCUGGGAAACAAGAGCAUGCAUGGCCGGAAAUAUAUUUUAUAUUUUUUUAUAUUUUGUUAUUAUUUUAGUCGCUUAUUUUUUCACUAUGAUCUGUUUGUCUUGUUUUAUGAUGGAUAUAGGGCUUUCUAAUGCAACAUACCUGUUACAUUAAUGCAGUUUAUUUUGGUUAUCUGCAUUUUUGGAUAGCCUAAUUAAGGAACAAUUGUCAGCCAAGCAACCUGAAGCAUAUGACCGGUUUUGGUCUGAUCAACUUCCUAUAGUUGUGACAACUUUUGUCAACCAUUUUUGAAAGGGACCCUCAUUGUACUGCAGCUAUUACAGUAUGCAGGAAAGGAUUAUCAGAGGGUUCAGGCAACGCUAGUGAUAGCUCACUCCGCAUGCUUUUUUUGACCUGCAUUGCUGCAAUCACAGAACUUGGACUAACAAAAGUUUCUUGCUCUCAGAUUUUCUCCACAAUCCCAGAUAUAACAGAACUGAAACCUGUAGAUUUAAACAUGAAAGGGAAACAGAAGAAAUGUGUUUUUGGGUGGAUCUUAUACAGAAACAGCCGGAGCAAGCAAUUGACAGGGAGAGCACUGGAGGCCCUAACAUAGAGCUUUAGAAGCAGCUAUUGAGCAACCACCUUUCCAAGAGCUGGCUCGAAAUGUUGAUGGAAUCGAGAAAAAUAUUAGUGGUUGUUGACUUUCACUACAAAGAGUGAGUUACCUUUCUCCUGUUUCCUUUUUCUUCUCCCCCACCCCCACCCCUACUCUACUAUAAAAUUUUAUUUUGUAACUCAAUAAUUUUGCAGGUUUAAUGCUUGCAAUGUGGAAUGUGGACUAUCAAAUUUUAUUUUGUAACUUUAUAAUUCUGCAGGUUUAAUGCUUGUGAUGUGGAACAUGGCUUUGAAAAGAAGGAGAAAAUGGAUGCUUUAUAUUAGGAAAUUAAAUUCCCUUACUUUCGGCUUACCGUUAUACGGGUCUAAUUUUUUUUAUGUUUUU